UAUGGAGCUGCUGCAGAAACUUCUACCAACCGAGGGUUGAUGUAUUUUUGAGCCCUGUGAGACUCUCUAAAACCGGAACUGGCCAGGUUCCUUUGUUCCCAUAUAUUGGGUGGCGAGCUAGAGACAGGCCUCGUGCCUCAGCCUGGAAAGAAGCGACUGCAACUCCCAUCAGUGUGUUUUGUGGGACUAUAUGAAGUGGAAAUUGCAGACCACAGUUUAAUUACAAAUUAUGUAUUUGUUCAUUUAGAAAAAUUGAAGUGUCUUGUUUGUACUUUUUGUGUGCAACUGUAAAUAUUGUAAAUAUUUUCCUUUUUCAUAUAUUACACCAAUUUUUGCACCUGAAUUCUGUGUGGCGUCUCAUUGAGCACAUCUUCAACAUUCUCCGAGAGCUGAACUUAGACUUCUGAUAUUCCUAUGAUUACAACUUUUAUUUUAUUCAUUCCUUAUAUCGGCAUUUGGAUAAAGAAAUGCUACAAGUUGGCGAGCUAGCCAGGAGAAUGUUGAUUUGUGCUUAAUUUAGGUUAUAUA